UAACAUUAAAAAAACAACUGUCGAAGUCAGACGAGUGUUGGUCGAGUCUACUGUCAACUACUGUGUUUGCGAUUGAGUGUUUUAGACAAGAAAUAUGCCCAGAUGCCCAGGAUAUUGAUUGCAGGGUACACCAAAUUUGGUCAACUUUCAUCAUGAGAUGCUAUAGUUCAGCUAUAGAGAGGACACAGAGAGUAAUUACAAAAAAAAAACGAAUUACUAAACUGCCAGUAGAUGUCCGACAGGAGCUUACGGACAGAAAGCGGCAGGCGCAAUUAGAUUUAGCAAUAAGGCCGCCUUUUGUCUCUAGUGUCUCGAUUUAUUUGUUUGGUACGUCAUUUUGUGCAAUCAAGUAUAUUGUAUUGCAAGACUGUAAUUUUAAAUUCUAAUAAAAAAUAUAUAUUUUUAAGGUCCGAAUGUUAAGUGCUUGGUAAAAAAUGUAAAUAAAACAAGCAUUCAAUUAUAAAUUGGUUUUAGUUCAUAUUAAUAAACCUUAAUUUUUCUACUGGUUUUCUU